UGGAGGCAGCCGGGCAGGUUGCGCGCCUCGUGGGCGCGGUAGAAGGAGCCGUCGUACGAGACGACGGGCUCCCUC
rnacentral:tRNA from 1 species